CGUAGGGUGCGAGCGUUAAUCGGAAUUACUGGGCGUAAAGCGUGCGCAGGCGGUUUAGUAAGACAGGCGUGAAAUCCCCGGGCUCAACCUGGGAACUGCGCUUGUGACUGCUAAGCUAGAGUACGGCAGAGGGGGUGGAAUUCCACGUGUAGCAGUGAAAUGCGUAGAGAUGUGGAGGAACACCAAUGGCGAAGGCAGCCCCCUGGGUCGAUACUGACGCUCAUGCACGAAAGCGUGGGUAGCAAACAGGAUUAGAUACCCUGGUAGUCCACGCCCUAAACGAUGUCAACUAGGUGUUGGAGGGUAAAACCUUUUAGUACCGGAGCUAACGCGUGAAGUUGACCGCCUGGGGAGUACGGCCGCAAGGUUA
rnacentral:rRNA from 1 species